GUCGUAGAUAGUAGAUAGUAGGUCGUAGAUAGUAGAUAGUAGGUAGUAGGUAAUAGAUAGUAGGUAGUAGAUAGUAAAUAGUAGAUAGUAGAUAGUAGGUAGUAGGUAGUAGGUAGUAGAUAGUAGAUAGUAGGUAAUAGAUAGUAGGUAGUAGAUAGUAAAUAGUAGAUAGUAGAUAGUAGGUAGUAGGUAGUAGAUAGUAGAUAGUAGAUAGUAGGUAGUAGGUAGUAGAUAGUAGGUAGUAGAUAGUAGAUAGUAGGUAGUAGGUAGCAGGUAGUAUCUACUACCUACUAUCCAGUUGUGUGGAUUGCGUCAUCUGUUGAUCUGUUGGGACGGUUUGCAAAUUGAAGUGGGUCUAGGGUAUCCGGGAGGAAGCUGUUGAUGUGAGCCAUGGCCAGCCUUUCAAAGCACUUCAUGGCUACCAAAGUGAGGGCUACGGGUGGUUUAGGCAGGUUACCUUCGCUUCCUUGGGCACAGGGACUAUGGUGGUCUGCUUGAAACAUGUAGGUAAUAUAGACUCGGGCAGGGACAGGUUGAAAAUGUCAGUGAAGACACUUGCCAGUUGGUCAGCACAUGCUUUGAGUACACGUCCUAGUGAUCGGUCUGGACCCACAGCUUUGAAUGUUGACCUGUUUAAAGGUCUUGCUCACAUCGGCUUCAGAGAGCGUUAUCACACAGUCGUCCAGAACAGCUGGAGCUCUCAUGCACGCUUCAGUGUUGCUUGCCUCGACGCAAGUAUAAAAGGCAUUUAGCUUGUCUGGUAGGCUCUCGUCACUGGGCAGCUCACGGCUGGGUUUCCCUUUGUAGUCCGUAAUAGUUUUCAAGCCCUGCCACAUCCGACGAGCGUCAGAGCCGGUGUAGUAGGAUUCAAUCUUAAUCCUGUAUUGACGCUUUGCAUGAUUGAUGGUUCAUCUGAGGGCAUAGCGGGAUUUCUUACAAACGUCCGGAUUAGUGUCCUGCUCCCGGAAAGCGGCAGCUCUAGCAUCUAUCACCAGGUAGACUGACUGAGGCCCUCUACAGACCACAUCCAUCACUAGGUAGACUGACUGAGGCCCUCUACAGACCACAUCCAUCACUAGGUAGACUGACUGAGGCCCUCUACAGACCACAUCCAUCACUAGGUAGACUGACUGAGGCCCUCUACAGACCACAUCCAUCACUAGGUAGACUGACUGAGACCCUCUACAGACCACAUCCAUCACUAGGUAGACUGACUGAGGCCCUCUACAGACUACAUCAAUCACCAGGUAGACUGACUGAGGCCCUCUACAGACUACAUCCAUCAGCAGGUAGAUUGAUUGAGACCCUCUACAGACCACAUCUAUCACCAGGUAGACUGAUUGAGACCCUCUACAGACCACAUCCAUCACUAGGUAGACUGAUUGAGACCCUCUACAGACCACAUCCAUCAC
ensembl:lncRNA